CCUACGGGUGGCAGCAGUGGGGAAUAUUGCACAAUGGGGGAAACCCUGAUGCAGCGACGCCGCGUGAAGGACGAAGUAUUUCGGUACGUAAACUUCUAUCAGCAGGGAAGAAAAUGACGGUACCUGACCAAGAAGCCCCGGCUAACUACGUGCCAGCAGCCGCGGUAAUACGUAGGGGGCAAGCGUUAUCCGGAUUUACUGGGUGUAAAGGGAGAGUAGGGGGGAGAGCAAGUCCGAAGUGAAAACCCAAAGCUCAACUCUGGGAAUGCUUUAGAAACUGCUCAGCUAUAGUGCAGGAGAGGCAAGUUGCCUUCUUCUUGUAGCGGUGACAUGCGUUGAUAUUAGGAGGACCCCCAGUGCCGCAGGCGGCUUGCUGGACUGUAACUGCCCCUGAGGCUCGAACGCGUGGGGAGCACACCGGAUUCGAUACCCGGGUAGUC
rnacentral:rRNA from 1 species